rnacentral:rRNA from 1 species
GAGUUCGAUUCUGGCUCAGAUUGAACGCUGGCGGGAUGCUUACACAUGCAAGUCGAACGGCAGCACGACUUCGGUCUGGUGGCGAGUGGCGAACGGGUGAGUAAUGUAUCGGAACGUGCCUAGUAGCGGGGGAUAACUACGCGAAAGCGUGUAGCUAAUACCGCAAUAAUGCCCUGGGGAAAGCGGGGGACCUUCGCCUCGCACUAUUAGAGCGGCCGAUAUCGAUUAGCGAAGCUGGUGGGGUAACGCUCACCAGACAUCCGGUAGCUGGUUUGAGAGGACGACCAGCCACACUGGGACUGAGACACGGCCUGACUCCUACGGAGGCAGCAGUGGGGAAUUUUGGACAAUGGGAAAACCCUGAUCCGCAGCCAUCCCGCGUAAAAGAUGAAGGCCUUCGCUAAAGCACUGCAGGAAAGAAACGGCACGGGAUAAUACCCCGUGCAACUGACGGUACCUGCAGAAUAGCACCGGCUAACUACGUGCCAGCAGCCGCGGUAAUACGUAGGUGCAAGUGUUAACGGAAUUACUGGGCGAAAGCGUGCGCAGGCGGUUCUGAAAGAAAGAUGUGAAAUCCCAGAGCUUAACUUUGAACUGCAUUUUUGAAUCAUCGAGUCAGAGUGUGUCAGAGGGAGGUGGAAUUCCGCGUGUAGCAGUAAAUGCGUAGAUAUGCGGAGGAACACCGAUGGCGAAGGCAGCCUCCUGGGAUAACACUGACGCUCAUGCACGAAAGCGUGGGGAGCAAACAGGAUUGAUACCCCUGGUAGUCCACGCCAACGAUGUCAACUAGCUGUUGGGGCCUUCGGGCCUUGGUAGCGCAGCUAACGCGUGAAGCUAACCGCCUGGGGAGUACGGUCGCAAGAUUAAAACUCAAAGGAAUUGACGGGGACCCGCGGCUGCCGGUGGAUGAUGUGGAUUUAACUGAUGCAACGCGAAAAACCUUACCUACCCUUGACAUGUUGGAAAUCCUGAAGAGAUUUAGGAGGUCGCAAGCAGAACCGGAACACAGGUGCUGCAUGGCUGUCGUCAGCUCGUGGUCGUGAGAUGUUGUUAAGUCCCGCAACGAGCGGCAACCCUGUCAUUAGUUGCUACGAAAGGGCACUCUAUCGAGACUGCCGGUGACAAACCGGAGGAAGGUGGGGAUGACGUCAAGUCCUCAUGGCCCUUGCGGGUAGGGUUUCACACGUCAUACAAUGGUCGGGACAGAGGGUCGCUAACCCGCGAGGGGAGCCAAUCCCAGAAACCCGAUUGUAGUCCGAUCGCAGUCUGCAACUCGACUGCGUGAAGUCGGAAUCGCUAGUAAUCGCGGAUCAGCAUGUCGCGGUGAAUACGUUCCCGGGUCUUGGGUACAGCAACGCCUCGGGAAGACCAUGGGAGUGGGUUUUACCAGAAGUAGCGGGCCUAACCGUAAGGAGGGCGAUUACCACGGUAGGAUACCCAUGACUGGGUGAAGUCGUAUCAAUGGUAA